rnacentral:rRNA from 1 species
UACGUAGGGUGCGAGCGUUAAUCGGAAUUACUGGGCGUAAAGCGUGCGCAGGCGGUUGGCAAAGUCAGCUGUGAAAGCCCCGGGCUUAACCUGGGAACUGCGUUUCUAACUGGCAGGCUUGAGUGUGGCAGAGGGGGGUGGAAUUCCACGUGUAGCAGUGAAAUGCGUAGAGAUGUGGAGGAACACCGAUGGCGAAGGCAGCCCCCUGGGCUAACACUGACGCUCAUGCACGAAAGCGUGGGGAGCAAACAGG